rnacentral:tRNA from 1 species
CGAGAUGUGGCUCAGUUUGGUAGAGCGCUUGGUUCGGGACCAAGAGGCCGUGGGUUCGAAUCCCGCCAUCUCGACCA